UCUAGGCUAAGAGCUCCACUCAUAAAUCUCUUCCUUGCUCUCUGUUUUUUCUAGCUCAAAGAUGUACCAAUGAGGAGCUUCAGAGAAACCAACUUAAAAUGGAAACAUUGAAGGAAGAAUUAGACAAAUUGAACCUGGAAAUGAUUCAGUUGGAGGAAACCUUGAACAUGAAGCAGGGUAAGUGUCUCUUGCUGGAGAACUUUUUCCCCUGUAGGGGAGCUGGUCUCUUCGUGUGGAAACUCUGUUGUGGGUGAGCUGUCUCAGGCAGGUACCUUUUUGAAUGUGGCUUUAGCCUCCCAUUAACCUCUUUCUCACCAUAGGAACUUUGCUGCUCCUUCAAGAGCGCCGCAGAGAGGAGGAAAAGAAAGCCCUAAGGUAGGCUAUUUAGAUCUUUGCAGA
rnacentral:lncRNA from 1 species